rnacentral:rRNA from 1 species
AACGUAGGAGACAAACGUUAUCCGGAGUUACUGGGCGUAAAGGGCGUGUAGGCGGUUCGUUAAGUCUGGCGUGAAAGCUCUCGGCUAAACCGGGAGAGGUCGUUGGAUACUGGCGGACUAGAGGACGGUAGAGGCGUGUGGAAUUCCGGGUGUAGUGGUGAAAUGCGUAGAGAUUUGGAGGAACACCAGUGGCGAAGGCGACUUUCUGGUCUGUAACUGACGCUGAGGCGCGAAAGCGUGGGGAGCGAACAGG